AUAUCUCUAGCCCUCGUGAUUACUUCCUUACCCUUUGGUUUUGGAUCUUGAUCGACCUUUGGCUUAACGAACGGCUUGUAAUCCUUUUGAUAACCGGUCUUCUCUUUCUUUUGAUAACUUGGCUUUCCUGGGCUGUAGUUGGUCUUGGUGUGACUUGACCGAGCGUUCCUUCUCUUGAUUUGCUGCUAGAACAUGACCGCUUUGUGAAGCAUCUCCUCAAGCUCCACAUAGUGUUGAGUUUCUAAACGAUCUUGGAUUUCG
rnacentral:lncRNA from 1 species